UACAGAGGGGGCAAGCGUUGUUCGGAAUUACUGGGCGUAAAGGGCGCGUAGGCGGCCUGUUAAGUCGGACGUGAAAUCCCUCGGCUCAACCGGGGAACUGCGUCCGAUACUGGCGGGCUUGAAUUCGGGAGAGGGAUGUGGAAUUCCAGGUGUAGCGGUGAAAUGCGUAGAUAUCUGGAGGAACACCGGUGGCGAAGGCGGCAUCCUGGACCGACAUUGACGCUGAGGCGCGAAAGCCAGGGGAGCAAACGGGA
rnacentral:rRNA from 1 species